AGGGCUGUAGCUGAGUGCAUAAAGCACUGGCCUAGCACACCAAAGGACCUGGGUUCAAUUCCCCAGCACUU
rnacentral:tRNA from 1 species